CGCGGAAAGCCCAGCAGCAGCAGCAGGCGCCGCGGGCAGAACAAGGCAGAGAGGCCUCCGGAGAGGCCCAUUGGGAGAGUGGGGAGCUUGCUCCUACCCCGUUUUGUUCCGGAAGAGAGUGACAGGGUGUCACCGAACACCAAGUCUCUUUGCGCACUUUGACUGGAGUCCGAAGGAGGGGCUCAGGGUGUUUUGGACCCCGCGAAGGCUUAAGGCAAAAGGCUGGGCGUGGAUCUACACUACAGGAGAAGGAAUGCAGUUUAAGCCCACUUGCGCUCACGGAUGCAGGAUUCCAGCUUCUGCAAAGCAAGAGGAAGCCAGUGUGCUGAGAUGGUUUGUAUUGAACUGUGACUCUGGAGACCAGGGCUAGAAGCCCCACUAGGCCAUAAAACCCACUAUCUCGGCCUCAGAGGGAGGCAAUGGAAAGCUCUUCUGAUCCAACCUUGCCAGGAAAACCCUGCCUUUGGUUCCUUCCGCCAAGGUUCCGAAAUGAUCUGAAUAAAAAACAAAGUCCCAAGAAAAAGCCAGCGUGGGAUAGUUAUUUGAAUGAUUGAACCCCACUCGACUGUUUAAGCCCCACGGUGAACAUCAGGGCAGGCCCCAUUCUCUCCGUCUCAGAGGAAGGCUGAAUAAAACCCCAGCGAAUGGGGCCCCUUUCGGGGUCAGUGGAAGGAAGGCACAUCGCGACCAGAAAAGCCCUGCGACUUGUAAACAGCACAUUUCUAAUUACAGCAGUGUGUUAUCGCUGUAAAAACAUCAGAAUCCUCCAACGGUGCAACUCCCCCAAAGAAAUGUUGACUGAGACCUGGAUUUUGUUUCUCUGAUAAGGGCCUCCUUCACCAUGAAAAGUGCCCUGCGGCCCAGGGGUUAAGGAAGGGCCAUCUUUCAGGCAUGCGGGUGGUGGUGGUGGUGGUGGUGGGGGGUGCUUCUUUAUUUUUGGCUUCUCCUAGCCUCUCCC
rnacentral:lncRNA from 11 species